rnacentral:rRNA from 1 species
GCCCAUGACACCUUGCUUAGCCACACCCCCAAGGGAACUCAGCAGUGAUAGACAUUAAGCCAUAAGUGAAAACUUGACUUAGUCAAAGCUAAGAGGGCCGGUAAAACUCGUGCCAGCCACCGCGGUUAUACGAGAGGCCCAAGUUGAUAGACAUCGGCGUAAAGCGUGGUUAAGAUUAAAGACAAUACUAAAGCCGAACACCUUCAGAGCUGUUAUACGCAUCCGAAGGUAAGAAGUUCAACCACGAAAGUGGCUUU